AUGGCCUCUGCGCGCAUCUCCACACUUGGGAUUCUCUUCACACUGAGUGGACUGAGAGCUCAGUCGGUGUCGCAGCCAGAUCAUGUCACUGUUGCUGAAGGGGAUCCACUGACUGUGAAUUGUACCUAUUCAGUUUCUGGAAACCCUUAUCUCUUUUGGUACGUCCGGUAUCCCAGCCAAGGUCUCCAGUUCCUUCUGAAAUACAUCACCGGAACAACCUGGUUAAAGGGAGCUACGGUUUUGAGGCUGAAUUUAAUAACAGCCAAACCUCUUUCCACCUGAAGAAACCAUCUGUCCUCCGGAGCGAUUCUGCUGUGUACUUCUGUGUGGUGGCAGACACAGUGGUGGGGGCGGUGGGGGCAGCUGAGCACAAACCCCUGAGUACCACCCUGGAACUUUUUCCCGAAGCCUUUAUGUCCCUCCACUAG